UGAAAUAAAAACUUAAAAUUUUGAAAAUAAAAAUAAAAUAAUAGUUUGAUUAAGUAAUAAAUCUAGCACUAGUUACUAGUUAGCUUGUUGCAAUCUAGAGAGUGUAAUUAAGAUAAGAUAAGAGUAAAAAUAUGGUUGUCCACAGACGUUGUGACAUCUGUAACUAGGGUUUAGACAACAUUUCUUCUCUAUACACACAUAUAAACGAAACAUAUCUAUGAAGACAUAUCAUAACGCCGUUGGAGGAGCGUCAAGCAGCCACCCAAAGAGAGCAACGACUUCUCUCCAUUGAUGAAGGUGAAGCAGAAUCUGGAGGCGAGAAUGGUGAAGGAGAUGUGGUGGCACGACACGCUCACGAAUCCGAUCUUUCAGGUACAUUAUUCUUCAUACUUUACUACUUCUCUUUACGAUGGUUUGGUUGAUUCGAAAUUAUUGUGGUAUGAAAGACAUCAAAGGGGUUGGAGGAGCACGCAGCCGCCCAAACAACAGACAACAGCUUCUCUCCGAAGGCAUGGAGGAGAUGGUGGUGGGACGAAACCUUAUCUUUUAGAUAUAUCAUUUAUUAGCAUGUGCAAGGCAGCUUUUUUUCGUUCGCUUGUAGCCACAUAAAACGUAGCGCCGGCUCUGGAAAUGAUGCGUUGUGUCAACGGUAUUUGGAAUCGCAUUGUGCCGGCUAGGAGGAGACAAGCUUUCUUCACCAACUUGAUUCUUGAGUGGCUUUACGGUAACUUGGCUGGGAAGGAUCAAGUGGCAGGGAUUGAGUGGCCAACUAUGUUUACUAUGGGAGUUUGGUGGGCAUGGAAGUAAUGAUGUGGGUAUGUGUUGGAGUGGUUGGAAAGUGUAGGGACCAAUUAAAUUUUGUGAAGGAUUCAGCUGCGGAAGUGAGUCACGCUCACAAGCUGGCCAAAAAUAUGAGGGUAUCUGUUGGUAGGGUUGACAUAAUGAUAUUUUGGAAGCCGUCGGGGGUGUGUUGGAUGAGGCUGAAUACGUAUGGUGCAUCAAGGGGGAACCCGGGGCUAGCUACAGCUGAAGGUGUCUUACAGGAGACAACUAACAGUUGGUGCGGUGGUUUUGUGGUAAACAUCAGGGUUUGUUCCACACCGUUGAUGGAGUUAUGGGGGUGUAUUAAGGGUUGUACAUUGCAUGGGGGAAGAAGAUUGCCCGGCUGGAGUUGGAGGUAGAUUCGGAGUUGGUAGUGGGGUUUUUAACGACAGGGAUUGAUGAUGCUCACCUCUUGUUGUUUCUGGUACGUUUGUGCCAUGACUUUUUAUCUAGGAACUGGAUAGUCCGUAUCUCGUAUGUGUAUAGAGAGGUUAACCGUCUUGCGGAUGGUUUAGCUAGUUAUGCUUUUAUGUUACCUUUAAGUUUUUCCUUUUUAGAAUCGUGUCCAUUGUAGAGGAUGAUGACCUAGAAACUGCAUUUCGAAGGCAUAUUUGUUGUUAAGUACGUUUUUCUUUUUCUUUUAAUAAAUCGUCGGGAGACCCCUUUACCAAAUGAAAAAAGAAAAGAAGUUAAAGAUAAUUACUCUUCUGCUUUAAACAUGUUUUAUGAUUUGUCUUCUAAGAUGUAAGGUAAGCUUAAACUGCUACUAUUUUUUGUUCUUUAAUUUGUUGUCACAUGAUUUCUUUGUCUAACAGUAGAUAUGGUGUAACAAUAUAUGGAAUAAUAAAGAUUUUUUUUUUUGUAAAUUGUAUAAAUCAUUGGAAUAUUCUUUUUAAGAGAAUUCUUUGGAAUAGCCAACAGAAUAACCAAUUAAUUUAUAAAUUUUUUUUCGGGAGGGUUCUUUUUAUCUUCUGCUAAAUUAAUUAGCAUAUUAGAUGUCUAUAUAUGGACUGUACAAGCCCAGAUUUUGCUUAUCUUUAUUAGCAUAUAGUUUUCAUCAUUAUAACUUGUAAAACCUAAUUUUUUUUUUUUUUUUUUGUAAAAGUAAAACCUAAAUUGGAUAUCUAAAUAUUUUUGUCAGCAAUAAAUUAUAUAAAACUAAUAAGUAUGCCCUUUAAUAGUUUUUCCAAAUUGGAUGUCAUAGGCCAAUGCUUCUUCUUCUUUUUUUUUCUCACUGUGGCACGUGCAACAGAGCACUACGGAACUUUAGCUCCGUAUCAUACAAUCACUAGAACGAGGGAACUUGAGUCAACCAAGAUUAUACACAACACAGCUAGACUGCAACGUCCCUGAUGAGCGUGCCAAAACGUAGGCUUCUGAAGUAAUGAGUUACAAAAGAAGGCAUUGGUAAGUUGAUUUUGUAAUUUUUUAAAAUCUCUGUUUCUUUUUACAUCUCAAGUGCUUUUGUUUCUGUUUGGGUGUCCUUGUAUGUAACAUUUUUUUUCCUUCAAAACAGUAGGUAAAUAACGUCUGUGAACGUUAUGUGACUUAUAUGAUUAUAUAUAAACUGGAAGAUUGUAAAUGAGAA